GAUGAACGCUGGCGGCGUGCCUAAUACAUGCAAGUCGAGCGAACGGACGGAAGCUUGCCUUCCCUGUGUUUGGGGGGGACGGGGGAGUUACACGUUGGUAAACUAACUUUUAGACUGGGGUAACCUUGGGGAACCGGAGGUAAUACCGGGAUAAAAUUUGAAACGGCUGGGUUAAAAGGGGAAGGAGGGCUUGGCGGUAAUUAAAGGAGGAACCGCGCUGCAUUAGCUAGUUGGUAAGGUAACGGCUUACCAAGGCAACGAUGCAUAGCCGACCUGAGAGGGUGAUCGGCCACACUGGAACUGAGACACGGUCCAGACUCCUACGGGAGGCAGCAGUAGGGAAUCUUCCGCAAUGGGCGAAAGCCUGACGGAGCAACGCCGCGUGAGUGAUGAAGGUCUUCGGAUCGUAAAACUCUGUUAUUAGGGAAGAACAUAUGUGUAAGUAACUGUGCACAUCUUGACGGUACCUAAUCAGAAAGCCACGGCUAACUACGUG
rnacentral:rRNA from 1 species